rnacentral:rRNA from 1 species
GACGAACGCUGGCGGCGUGCUUAACACAUGCAAGUCGAACGGAAAGGCCCUGCUUUUGUGGGGUGCUCGAGUGGCGAACGGGUGAUUAACACGUGAGUAACCUGCCCUUGACUUUGGGAUAACUUCAGGAAACUGGGGCUAAUACCGGAUAGGAGCUCCUUCUGCAUGGUGGGGGUUGGAAAGUUUCGGCGGUUGGGGAUGGACUCGCGGCUUAUCAGCUUGUUGGUGGGGUAGUGGCUUACCAAGGCUUUGACGGGUAGCCGGCCUGAGAGGGUGACCGGCCACAUUGGGACUGAGAUACGGCCCAGACUCCUACGGGAGGCAGCAGUGGGGAAUAUUGCACAAUGGGCGGAAGCCUGAUGCAGCAACGCCGCGUGCGGGAUGACGGCCUUCGGGUUGUAAACCGCUUUCGCCUGUGACGAAGCGUGAGUGACGGUAAUGGGUAAAGAAGCACCGGCUAACUACGUG